GACGAACGCUGGCGGCGUGCUUAACACAUGCAAGUCGUACGGUAAGGCCCUUUCGGGGGUACACGAGUGGCGAACGGGUGAGUAACACGUGAGUAACCUGCCCACAACUUUGGGAUAACGCUAGGAAACUGGUGCUAAUACUGGAUAUGUGCUCCUGCUGCAUGGUGGGGGUUGGAAAGCUCCGGCGGUUGUGGAUGGACUCGCGGCCUAUCAGCUUGUUGGUGGGGUAGUGGCCUACCAAGGCGGCGACGGGUAGCCGGCCUGAGAGGGUGACCGGCCACAUUGGGACUGAGAUACGGCCCAGACUCCUACGGGAGGCAGCAGUGGGGAAUAUUGCACAAUGGGCGGAAGCCUGAUGCAGCAACGCCGCGUGCGGGAUGACGGCCUUCGGGUUGUAAACCGCUUUCGCCUGUGACGAAGCAUGAGUGACGGUAAUGGGUAAAGAAGCACCGGCUAACUACGUG
rnacentral:rRNA from 1 species